ACGAAAGAAAAGAGGUUGUACUAGAAGGGUUGGGUUAAGUAAGAUAAACAAAGCCCUUGGUAAAAAAAUAGAGAUCAACAUCUCAACGAAAGAAGGGCGAUCCACUAAUGCUGUUCAAUCCGCCAAGCUAUUAAAUGAGUUGGGUAUGAUAGCUCAAAAUAUCUAAUCUAUCAAGCCUAGAUGGACCAAAUUUACAAAGGUGGAGAUGCAGAUUGCGUUUGACAAACUAGAGUAAAAACUAGAUGUCAAGGGUUUAAAGAUGGAUGAGGAAGUUUGUGCUAGCGUCAAGAAGCUUCUUUCAUUGAAGUCAAAGGAUCAAAGAUAUCGACUACAUAUGCAUUACCUUAACCAUGGAAAGGACUCAAAGCCAGGUACUGUGAGUAUGAUAGAAUGGAUAGAUCUAUGUACUUACUGGAGUAAAGAAAAGACACAGCUAACAUGUGAGCAUAACAAAAAAUUCAAAAAUUUUGUCAAGUGCCAAGCAAACACCGGGUCAAAAGCUUUUGUACCUAUACGAGCGAGAAUAAAUUGAAUGGAAAGAGUGCAAUCGAAUUAUGUUGUGGUAUCAUACUCAUUACACCCCAGGUCAUGGUGACACUUCAGAUAGAUGGACAACUCUCGAGUGUGAGGCAAAAUGGAAUGAAAUGAUGCAGGUACUAGAGCAGUCCAUAUCUGAUGGUCAUCCUAUGAUAGCAGACCAGAUAUGCGAUAAAGUUUUGGGGAUCAGAUCAGAUUAUGUCUAUGGUUUGGGAGUUGGACCUCGUCCAAAGGGAAGAGUUCCUCUUUUAUAUCUAAGAAGAGACUUCAAAAGGAGUUGGAGCAGUCGCAAAAGCAUAAUCAAGAGAUGAAGAAUGAGAUUGUAGACAUUAAGGCGUAGAUGGAGCGUCAACAAAAGAUUUUGGAAGCUUUAUGUGCAUCACAGAAUAUCUUUUUAUCAUAUUUAUGAUGGAUCCCGUGAUUCAAGAACUUGUGAAGAUGUGGUUUUGAGGACAUGCAUGGUAGAGGGGCCUUUUGCGCUUUAGAUUGUCGACUUAUGAACUCAUUUGUUUUAUUAUAGACAGAUGGAUAAUGAGUUUGUUUGCUUUUGGUUAGAGGUGAAUUGUUUGCUUUUGGUAGAAAUAUGGUCUCUUAGUGCUUUUAGUUGGAAAUACCAUCUCUUUGGAUGUCUAGACAAUUUAUUUUUUGGAUUAUAAACUUUAUGUAUAGAUUCAUCUUGAUUGUGAAUUGUACGUGAGUUCAUACUUUAGUUGUCGAAUGAUUUAUUGACUGAAAAUGGAUGAUUUACUUAGUAUUUGAAUAUGUACCAGAAAA